rnacentral:rRNA from 1 species
UCGUAACAAGGUUUCCGUAGGUGAACCUGCGGAGGGAUCAUUG